rnacentral:rRNA from 1 species
CCGCGGUAAAACGCGUUACUCCUACGGGAGGCAGCAGUAAGGAAUAUUGGUCAAUGGACGCAAGUCUGAACCAGCCAUGCCGCGUGGAGGAUGAAGGUCUCUGGAUUGUAAACUUCUUUUAUUUGGGAAGCGGUACCAGAUGAAUAAGCACCGGCUAACUCC